GGAGUUAGCCGGUGCUUCUUCUGCGAGUAACGUCACAGAUGUAAGGUAUUAACUUACACCCUUUCCUCCUCGCUGAAGUGCUUUACAACCCGAAGGCCUUCUUCACACACGCGGCAUGGCUGCAUCACGGGUUUCCCCCAUUGUGCAAUAUUCCCCACUGCUGCCUCCCGUAGGAGUCUGGGCCGUGUCUCAGUCCCAGUGUGGCUGAUCAUCCUCUCAGACCAGCUAGGGAUCGUCGCCUAGGUGAGCCUUUACCUCACCUACUAGCUAAUCCCACCUGGGCUUAUCCAUCAGCGCAAGGCCCGAAGGUCCCCUGCUUUCCCCCGUAGGGCGUAUGCGGUAUUAGCAGUCGUUUCCAACUGUUAUCCCCCACAAAUGGGCAAAUUCCCAGGCAUUACUCACCCGUCCGCCGCUCGUCAUCUUCAAAGCAAGCUUUUAGAAAUGUUACCGCUCGACUUGCAUGUGUUAGGCCUGCCGCCAGCGUUCAAUCUGAGCCAGAAUCAAACUCUGA
rnacentral:rRNA from 1 species